UGUAAAAUAGUGUAGAUUUAUUGCAUUAUGCUUUUUGGUAGCAUAGGAGGUAAGGUUCCUUUUACAA
rnacentral:tRNA from 1 species